GAAAUUGGAAAUUAAAAAUAUACAUUUAAAUUAAAAAAAAAACACAUUAUUAUUUAAAAAUAGUUUAUUAGAACAGCAACUCCUCGAGGUUCGUACUUCAAACCGCACCUCCAGUGCCCCAGCUCCCCUUCGCCGUGGAUCCGCAAGCGGUGUCGUCGUUCCCGCUUGAGCGAGAGCUCGCAGUGAUGCAGGAUGAGUACACCUAGAAGAUGAUCGUCUCCAUGGCUGCAGUUGUGAGCUCGAUUGUCCCCUUUUACUAUUGUGUGUUCCCUUGCUCUCUCAAACAUGUCCCUGAGGGGUUUAAGUUUCCGAAUUGUUCAAUCAAAAAGUGGACGUCUGGACCUGCAAGUUGGAUAUAAAAGAAGUCCAAAUUUAUGGC